rnacentral:rRNA from 1 species
UACGUAGGGUGCAAGCGUUAAUCGGAAUUACUGGGCGUAAAGCGUGACGCAGGCGGUUGUGUAAGACAGAUGUGAAAUCCCCGGGCUCAACCCUGGGAACUGCAUUUGUGACUGCACAGCUGGAGUGCGGCAGAGGGGGAUGGAAUUCCGCGUGUAGCAGUGAAAUGCGUAGAUAUGCGGAGGAACACCGAUGGCGAAGGCAAUCCCCUGGGCCUGCACUGACGCUCAUGCACGAAAGCGUGGGGAGCAAACAGG